rnacentral:rRNA from 1 species
AUUGAACGCUGGCGGCAUGCUUUACACAUGCAAGUCGAACGGUAACAGGCCUUCGGGUGCUGACGAGUGGCGAACGGGUGAGUAAUGCACCGGAACGUACCCAGAGGUGGGGGAUAACGCAGCUAAAGCUGUGCUAAUACCACAUGGGAUCUGAGGAUGAAAUCGGGGGACCGAGCAGCAAUGUUUGGCCGCGCGCCUUUGGAGCGGCCGAUGUCGGAUUAGCUAGUGGGUGGGGUAAAUGCCUACUAAGGCGACGAUCCGUAGCUGGUCUGAGAGGCCGGCCGGCGACAUGGGGAGGGAGACAGGGACCAGAGUCCUACGGGAGGGAGCAGUGGGGAACUUUAGACAAUGGGAGCAAGUCUUGUCCAGUAAUGGCGAGUGCGGGACGACGGCGCUCGGGUUGUAAACAGGUUCUGGCAGGAACGAAACGGUGUCCGCUAAUACCGGGCGUUAGUGACGGUAACUGCAGAAUAAGCACCGGCUAACUACGUG